GGCCUAAGUUUACGUAAGUAGGUAGUAGUAAACGUUACCUUCGGGUACAAUCGGUGUACAGGUGGUGCAUGGUUGUCGUCAGCUCGUGUCGUGAGAUGUUGGGUUAAGUCCCGCAACGAGCGCAACCCCUAUUGUUAGUUGCCAUCAUUCAGUUGGGCACUCUAGCGAGACUGCCGGUAAUAAACCGGAGGAAGGUGGGGAUGACGUCAAAUCAUCAUGCCCCUUAUGACCUGGGCUACACACGUGCUACAAUGGUUGGUACAACGAGUUGCGAGUCGGUGACGGCGAGCUAAUCUCUUAAAGCCAAUCUCAGUUCGGAUUGUAGGCUGCAACUCGCCUACAUGAAGUCGGAAUCGCCAGUAAUCGCGGAUCAGCACGCCGCGGUGAAUACGUUCCCGGGCCUU
rnacentral:rRNA from 1 species